UGUGAUAAACGAAACCACACUUGCGUAUACCCUGACAUGUGCAGGAGCUGCCCACAAAACAUUAAGCAUAGUUAUUUAAGGCUUCCAGUAUUCUACUUCGACAAUAAAACACAAGAGUGCGAGGAGGCUGAAGGCGAAAGCUACAGCUGUAACAGUUUCGGGAGUCUCGAUGAUUGCUAUCACUUCUGCGGGCUGGAUAAUUCAGAUGAAGAUUGAAGAACAAACCGCAAAGGUUUCUGUAUGACAAUAUUCUGGAUAUCACACCGGAGGCAGCACGUGGAAAUUAUUCAAAGUGGUUUUGGGGAUCCUUAUGAAAAUUUUGCUCAAUAAAAGAUUUUGCAUUUA